UACAGAGGUCUCAAGCGUUGUUCGGAUUCAUUGGGCGUAAAGCGUGCGCAGGCGGUUUUGUAAGACCGAUGUGAAAUCCCCGGGCUUAACCUGGGAACUGCAUUGGUGACUGCAAGGCUUGAGUGUGUCAGAGGGAGGUGGAAUUCCGCGUGUAGCAGUGAAAUGCGUAGAUAUGCGGAGGAACACCGAUGGCGAAGGCAGCCUCCUGGGAUAACACUGACGCUCAUGCACGAAAGCGUGGGGAGCAAACAGG
rnacentral:rRNA from 1 species